GACGAACGCUGGCGGCGUGCCUAAUACAUGCAAGUAGAACGCUGAAGAGAGGAGCUUGCUCUUCUUGGAUGAGUUGCGAACGGGUGAGUAACGCGUAGGUAACCUGCCUGGUAGCGGGGGAUAACUAUUGGAAACGAUAGCUAAUACCGCAUAAAAUGGAUUAUCGCAUGAUAAUCCAUUGAAAGGUGCAAAUGCAUCACUACCAGAUGGACCUGCGUUGUAUUAGCUAGUUGGUGGGGUAACGGCUCACCAAGGCGACGAUGCAUAGCCGACCUGAGAGGGUGAUCGGCCACACUGGGACUGAGACACGGCCCAGACUCCUACGGGAGGCAGCAAUACGGAAUCUUCAGCAAUGGGCGGAAGUCUGACCGAGCAACGCCGCGUGAGUGAAGAAGGUUGUCGGGUCGUAAAGCUCUGUUGUAAGGGAAGAACGAGUGUGAGAGUGGAAAGUUCACACUGUGACGGUAUCUUACCAGAAAGGGACGGCUAACUACGUG
rnacentral:rRNA from 1 species